UACAGAGGUGGCAAGCGUUGUUCGGAAUUACUGAGCGUAAAGGGCGCGUAGGCGGCCUACUAAGUCAGACGUGAAAUCCCCCGGCUUAACCUGGGAACUGCGUCUGAUACUGGAAGGCUUGAGGAUGGGAGAGGGAUGUAGAAUUCCAGGUGUAGCGGUGAAAUGCGUAGAUAUCUGGAGGAAUACCGGUGGCGAAGGCGGCAUCCUGGACCAUUACUGACGCUGAGGCGCGAAAGCUAGGGGAGCAAACGGG
rnacentral:rRNA from 1 species